rnacentral:rRNA from 1 species
GACGAACGCUGGCGGCGUGCUUAACACAUGCAAGUCGAACGGAAAGGCCUCUUUCGGGGGGUACUCGAGUGGCGAACGGGUGAGUAACACGUGAGUAACCUGCCCUUGACUUUGGGAUAACUUCAGGAAACUGGGGCUAAUACCGGAUAGGAGCUCCUGCUGCAUGGUGGGGGUUGGAAAGUUUCGGCGGUUGGGGAUGGACUCGCGGCUUAUCAGCUUGUUGGUGGGGUAGUGGCUUACCAAGGCUUUGACGGGUAGCCGGCCUGAGAGGGUGACCGGCCACAUUGGGACUGAGAUACGGCCCAGACUCCUACGGGAGGCAGCAGUGGGGAAUAUUGCACAAUGGGUGGAAGCCUGAUGCAGCAACGCCGUGUGCGGGACGACGGCCUUCGGGUUGUAAACCGCUUUCGCUCAUGACGAAGCUUUGUGUGACGGUAGUGGGUAAAGAAGCACCGGCUAACUACGUG